rnacentral:rRNA from 2 species
UCGAAACCUGCCUAGCAGAACGACCCGCGAACUCGUGAAAACAACUCUGUUGGGGACUGGGGAGGGGCGCGAGCCCCCGACCGACCCCCUUCGCCGUGCCUCGGCGCCGGCCGCUUGCGGCCGACCGUGGUUUGGCACAAACCAAAAACCCGGCGCAACCAGCGUCAAGGAAAUCUUAGCGGAAACAAGGCGGAGCCUCGCUUGCGGGGCGACGCCGCGAAUCCGAUAUUUGAACGACUCUCGGCAACGGAUAUCUCGGCUCUUGCAUCGAUGAAGAACGUAGCGAAAUGCGAUACUUGGUGUGAAUUGCAGAAUCCCGUGAACCAUCGAGUCUUUGAACGCAAGUUGCGCCCGAGGCCUUCUGGUCGAGGGCACGUCUGCCUGGGCGUCACGCACAGCGUCGCCCCCAACCACACAUGUUGUGGAAGGGGAGCGGAGAUUGGCCCCCCGAGCCCCGACGGGCACGGUCGGCACAAAUGCCCGUCCCUGGCAGCGGUCGCCGCGGUCAAGUGGUGGCUUCAAAUACCAUUUCGGUGACCGGUUGGCGCCGCAGCCCUAGUUGGGACAGAAUCGACCCGCAGAGGCCGUUCCGACGGCGUUUCACCCU